GGCGCCGUAGUUCAGUUGGUUAGAGCGCCUGUCUUGUAAUCAGGAGGUCAUGGGUUCAAAUCCCAUCGGUGGCU